CUCCCUCAGCAGUGGGUAAAGUGACACCUUGCUUGUGGUGUUGUUCCUACAUCAGUCAAGGGAAGAGCAGUUGUCAGUCCUUUGUUCAUCCCAGCUUGAUACCUGGCUUGGUGGCCAAAGCUGUUCCAUGACUAGUGCACCUAA